rnacentral:rRNA from 1 species
UACGUAGGGACCAAGCGUUGUCCGGAAUCAUUGGGCGUAAAGCGCGCGUAGGCGGCCCGGUAAGUCCGUUGUAAAAGUCGAAGGCUCAACCUUCGAAAGCCGAUGGAUACUGCCGGGCUAGAGUACGGAAGAGGCGGGUAGAAUUCCUGGUGUAGCGGUGGAAUGCGCAGAUAUCAGGAGGAACACCAGUGGCGAAGGCGGCUCACUGGCCCGGUACUGACGCUGAGGUGCGAAAGCGUGGGGAGCAAACAGG